GCUAGAGCAUCCUUGACUCCUGAGUCCAGCUAUAUUGCCAAGCCAGCUGCUUCAUGGCUUGAUGAUUUUCUUGUGUGGCUAUCUCCAGAAGCUUUUGGUUGCUGUCGCAAGUUCACAAAUGGGAGUUAUUGUCCUCCUGAUGAUCAGCCUCUUUGCAGACUCCACUGAGAUCACAAGAACCUGUAUCAGAGGAACAGUUGUACCACGUGUUUCCGUCACUCAGAUUUGAAUAAUGAUCGUCCAUCUACAGCACAAUUUAGGGAUAAACUCCCAUGGUUCCUUAAUGCUCUGCCGUCUGCUGAUUGUGCUAAAGGGGGCCAUGGUGCUUACACCAGCAGUGUGGAACUGGAAGGCAUUGAGAAUGGUGUUAUUCAAGCAUCAUCCUUCCGCACAUAUCACACGCCUCUCAACAAGCAGAUUGACUAUGUCAAUUCGAUGAGGGCUGCUAAAGAGUUCAGUUCAAGGGUGUCUGAUUCUUUAAAGAUGGAGGUUUUCCCAUAUUCAGUGUUUUAUAUGUUUUUUGAACAAUACCUUGAUAUAUGGAAGACAGCAUUGAUCAACCUGGCUAUUGCAAUUGGUGCGGUGUUUGUUGUUUGUUUAGUUAUCACGUGCAGUUUAUGGAGCUCAGCAAUAAUUUUGCUGGUUUUGGCGAUGAUUGUCGUGGAUCUUAUGGGUGUGAUGGCAAUUCUGGAUAUUCAACUGAAUGCAGUCUCUGUUGUUAACCUUGUCAUGUCAGUGGGCAUUGCUGUUGAGUUCUGUGUACAUAUAACAUUUGCUUUCUCAGUAAGUAGCGGAGAUAAAGACCAAAGAGUGGAGGAGGCUCUAGGUACAAUGGGGGCUUCAGUCUUCAGUGGAAUCACACUAACAAAGCUAGUCGGUGUACUUGUUCUGUGCUUCUCUAGGACGGAAGUUUUUGUGGUUUAUUACUUCCAAAUGUACCUGGCGUUGGUUCUUCUUGGUUUCUUGCAUGGGCUUGUAUUCUUGCCUGUAAUUUUGAGCGUGUUUGGUCCACCUUCAAGAUGUAAACUUAUUGAGAAGCCAGAAGAUAGGCCAUCAGUUUCAUUGCAGCCCUGAGAAGGUAAAUUGCUGCAUGAUAGCUCUUUUAUAGGACUUUAAAAAAAAAAAAAAA
rnacentral:misc_RNA from 1 species